AACGAACGCUGGCGGCAUGCCUAACACAUGCAAGUCGAACGAGACCUUCGGGUCUCGUUGCUCACGGGUGCGUAACGCGUGGGCACCUGCCCUUAGAUUCGGAAUAACUCCCCGACAGGGGUUCUAAUACCGGCUAAUGUCUUCGGACCAAAGAUUUAUCGCCUUUGGAUGGGCCCGCGUUGGAUUAGCUAGUUGGUAGGGUAAAAGCCUACCAAGGCGACGAUCCAUAGCUGGUCUGAGAGGAUGAUCAGCCACACUGGGACUGAGACACGGCCCAGAUUCCGACGGGAGGCAGAAGUGGGGAAGAUUGGACCAGGGGCGAAAGCCUGAUCAAGCAAUGCCGCGUGAGUGAUGAAGGCCUUAGGGUUGUAAAGCUCUUUUACCCGGGAUGAUAAUGACAGUACCGGGAGAAUAAGCUCCGGCUAACUCCGUG
rnacentral:rRNA from 1 species